GUAAUAUUUGUUGUCCAAAUGCCCGAUAUGCAGUGUGAGUGUAGGUUAACUAACUUAGUUAAGUUACCGGUACGUCAUGUUAGUUACAGGCGAGCUCCCUUUUCACAUUUACGACGCGGGAUAUUCUAUGCCUCGACGCACUUUCAAACUUUUACUACGUAAUAUACUCGUAGUAGAAGCAGAAAGCACUCAAAUACUCUGUUUGCAUUGGUACCCCUGAAAUUUUAUUCAUCCCUGGUGGAAUCGCUUAAACGUUGUGUUAAGUUAGUUGCAAGGAUAUGACCCUAUCCCGCUUUCUGCAUGCAGUAGCUACCGUAGCCCCUUCAAUCAAAUCCGGGGCAUUUACGAGGGAACACCAUAUUUUCACCAGAUGGCAAUUGCUAUAAACUAAAUGCUCAGAAUUGAUGCUGGCUAGAUAAUAAAAAGGCAGAACACCGGUCCUUGGCGCGCGUCUAUAGUGUGAGAAACUUUAGGUGCUUGAAGAAAAAAAGCAUUUGGAUUAAUUAGCUCAUGCAAUAGCAUGGUUUAUCUUAAGGAUGGAAUUUCGGUCAAGCAAGCCAGUCCGGAUACCAACAAAUUGACCACCAGAUGAUGAAUCUCACAACAGACCUGAGGCUUAUGGGUUUUCGUGCUCAUAGUACUAAAAUCUAGCUAUACCUUUUUUUUUUUUUUUUUUUUUUUUUUUUUUUUUUUUUUUCUUUUUCAAAAUGCCGUUGCUGGAUUUUGGUUGACAUUACUGGGUUGACUUUGAUUCGAAAUAAAACAUUCUAGAAUCGUUUACCUUUAUUAUCCUCGGCUCCUAAGCACACACCAUAGGGACGAGAUACCUGAUAUCAAUCCAGAUUUCUACCGAUUGAGGAGAGAAGGAUACUAUAAUUAAUCUGAUUGUGGGCAAGAUCUCGAAUUUGGAGUCAACUGGUAAGUGAGGUUCGUCGGUUCACUUCAACUCAGUCGGCCAGAACAUACGCCCAUCCUGCCAAAUCGAUCAAUUUCUGAGUCCUGAUGGAGAUCGUUUGGCGGCAAUACUUACUUCUCAGGUAAUGCGUGCUUUGUUUUGAGCAUCUACAACAGCCAAGAGCCUACAAGCACGUUGAGCCCUAGUGAAUGUCGUCAUGGGGUGACGGUCUGAUACAUCAGAAGAACGCGAUAAGUAUGUUGGAGAAAGACAUGGCAAUACUUGAGAUUAAAUCAUAGUUUAGUUGAAGAACAGAUGCUGCUAUUCAAGGUUAAUCGAUAUUUCCUAAUCGGGCAACCACGCACCUGCCCAAUCUGGAAGGUUCCUGUAAGGGCUUCAGCGUGCCUUUGGGGCUUACUACGUAGUAGUCACUUACCGUUAGUUAACUAUCUAACUAGUUAACUAAUAGUUAUAACCAACGUAAACCUAAACGUACAUCCACU
rnacentral:lncRNA from 1 species